rnacentral:rRNA from 1 species
UACGUAGGGGGCAAGCGUUGUCCGGAAUCAUUGGGCGUAAAGCGCGUGUAGGCGGUCCGGUAAGUCCGCUGUGAAAGUCGGGGGCUCAACCCUCGGAUGCCGGUGGAUACUGUCGGGCUUGAGUACGGAAGAGGCGAGUGGAAUUCCUGGUGUAGAGGUGAAAUGCGCAGAUAUCAGGAAGAACACCCGUGGCGAAGGCGGCUCUCUGGGACGGUAACUGACGCUGAGACGCGAAAGCGUGGGUAGCAAACAGG